AUUGAACGCUGGCGGCAGGCCUAACACAUGCAAGUCGAACGAGUGGCGGACGGGUGAGUAAUGUCUGGGAAACUGCCUGAUGGAGGGGGAUAACUACUGGAAACGGUAGCUAAUACCGCAUACCAUCGGAUGUGCCCAGAUGGGAUUAGCUAGUAGGUGGGGUAACGGCUCACCUAGGCGACGAUCCCUAGCUGGUCUGAGAGGAUGACCAGCCACACUGGAACGGAGACACGGUCCAGACUCCUACGGUAGGCAGCAGGGGGGAAUAGUGCACAAUGGGCGCAAGCCUGAUGCAGCCAGGCGGCGUGUAUGAAGAAGGCCUUCGGGUUGUAAAGUACUUUCAGCGGUGAGGCGUUACCCGCAGAAGAAGCACCGGCUAACUCCGUGCCAGCAGCCGCGGUAAUUC
rnacentral:rRNA from 1 species